rnacentral:rRNA from 1 species
UACGUAGGGGGCAAGCGUUGUCCGGAAUACUGGCGUAAAGCGCGUGUAGGCGGGACGACAAGUCCGGCGUGAAAGGCUCGGGCUCAACCCGAGACGGCCGUUGGAAACUGUCGUUCUUGAGGGUCGAAGAGGAGAGUGGAAUUCCUGGUGUAGCGGCGAAAUGCGUAGAGAUCAGGAGGAACACCCAAUGGCGAAGGCAGCCGCUCGUACGGU